rnacentral:rRNA from 1 species
GACGAACGCUGGCGGCGUGCCUAAUACAUGCAAGUAGAACGCUGAAGGAGGAGCUUGCUUCUCUGGAUGAGUUGCGAACGGGUGAGUAACGCGUAGGUAACCUGCCUGGUAGCGGGGGAUAACUAUUGGAAACGAUAGCUAAUACCGCAUAAGAGUAGAUGUUGCAUGACAUUUGCUUAAAAGGUGCAAUUGCAUCACUACCAGAUGGACCUGCGUUGUAUUAGCUAGUUGGUGGGGUAACGGCUCACCAAGGCGACGAUACAUAGCCGACCUGAGAGGGUGAUCGGCCACACUGGGACUGAGACACGGCCCAAACUCCUACGGGAGGCAGCAGUAGGGAAUCUUCGGCAAUGGACGGAAGUCUGACCGAGCAACGCCGCGUGAGUGAAGAAGGUUUUCGGAUCGUAAAGCUCUGUUGUAAGAGAAGAACGAGUGUGAGAGUGGAAAGUUCACACUGUGACGGUAUCUUACCAGAAAGGGACGGCUAACUACGUG